GGUUCCGUAGUGUAGUGGUUAUCACGUUCGCUUCACACGCAAAAGGGUUUCCCGGUUCGAUCCCGGAGGGAACCC